GCACCGAAACCAACAUUGUCUCCAAACAGACCAAAGCGAGAUUCCAUAUGACACACGCCAUCUAGGUCUUCCAUCUAGUGCGUCCAAAUUGAUUUUUGAGCAUAUGGUACGUUCCAUGCAAACCGUGCACCUAUCUUGCAUCAAGAUUAGCACUAUCUCCAAAAAGACCGAAUUGAGCUUCCACUUGAGCCUCUUCACCUAGGAGUACCAACAGGUGCGUCCAAAAUGGUUUCUUAGACUAUGGUGCAUUAGGCGCAAACUAUUGAAAGCCCUAGUUUGGUUCUGGAUAAUUGAUGAAACCCUGGUACUAACCUCUAUACUAAGUGUGUGUAGACUUAAUGAGGUUGGUACAUGCCAAAUGAUGGAGCAAGAGAUGAUCAUGGUGAUGAUGGUGAUGACCACAAGAUGAUCAAGUGCUCAACUUGGAAAAAAAGAAAGAGAAAAACAAAACCCUAUGGAGAUCAAGGCAAAGGUAUUGCUUA
rnacentral:lncRNA from 1 species